rnacentral:rRNA from 1 species
UACGUAGGGUGCAAGCGUUGCCCGGAUUUAUUGGGCGUAAAGGGCUCGUAGGCGGCCAACUAAGUCAGACGUGAAAUCCCUCGGCUUAACCGGGGAACUGCAUCUGAUACUGGAUGGCUUGAGUUCGGGAGAGGGAUGCGGAAUUCCAGGUGUAGCGGUGAAAUGCGUAGAUAUCUGGAGGAACACCGGUGGCGAAGGCGGCAUCCUGGACCGACACUGACGCUGAGGAGCGAAAGCCAGGGGAGCAAACGGG